rnacentral:rRNA from 1 species
UCGCGGCCUAUCAGCUUGUUGGUGGGGUAGUGGCUUACCAAGGCUUUGACGGGUAGCCGGCCUGAGAGGGUGACCGGCCACAUUGGGACUGAGAUACGGCCCAGACUCCUACGGGAGGCAGCAGUGGGGAAUAUUGCACAAUGGGCGGAAGCCUGAUGCAGCAACGCCGCGUGCGGGAUGACGGCCUUCGGGUUGUAAACCGCUUUCGCCUGUGACGAAGCGUGAGUGACGGUAAUGGGUAAAGAAGCACCGGCUAACUACGUGCCAGCAGCCGCGGUGAUACGUAGGGUGCGAGCGUUGUCCGGAUUUAUUGGGCGUAAAGGGCUCGUAGGUGGUUGAUCGCGUCGGAAGUGUAAUCUUGGGGCUUAACCCUGAGCGUGCUUUCGAUACGGGUUGACUUGAGGAAGGUAGGGGAGAAUGGAAUUCCUGGUGGAGCGGUGGAAUGCGCAGAUAUCAGGAGGAACACCAGUGGCGAAGGCGGUUCUCUGGGCCUUUCCUGACGCUGAGGAGCGAAAGCGUAGGGAGCGAACAGGCUUAGAUACCCUGGUAGUCCACGCUGUAAACGGUGGGUACUAGGUGUGGGGUCCAUUCCACGGGUUCCGUGCCGUAGCUAACGCUUUAAGUACCCCGCCUGGGGAGUACGGCCGCAAGGCUAAAACUCAAAGGAAUUGACGGCGCCCCGCACAAGCGGCGGAGCAUGCGGAUUAAUUCGAUGCAACGCGUAGAACCUUACCUGGGUUUGACAUGGAUCGGGAGUGCUCAGAGAUGGGUGUGCCUCUUUUGGGGUCGGUUCACAGGUGGUGCAUGGCUGUCGUCAGCUCGUGUCGUGAGAUGUUGGGUUAAGUCCCGCAACGAGCGCAACCCUUGUUCACUGUUGCCAGCACGUUAUGGUGGGGACUCAGUGGAGACCGCCGGGGCAACUCGGAGGAAGGUGGGGAUGACGUCAAGUCAUCAUGCCCCUUAUGUUCAGGGCUUCACGCAUGCUACAAUGGCUGGUACAGAGAGUGGCGAGCCUGUGAGGGUGAGCGAAUCUCGGAAAGCCGGUCUCAGUUCGGAUUGGGGUCUGCAACUCGACCUCAUGAAGUCGGAGUCGCUAGUAAUCGCAGAUCAGCAACGCUGCGGUGAAUACGUUCCCGGGGCUUGUACACACCGCCCGUCAAGUCAUGAAAGUUGGUAACACCCGAAGCCGGUGGCCUAACCGUUGUGGGGGAGCCGUCGAAGGUGGGGCUGGA